UACGGGGGGAGCAAGCGUUGUUCGGAUUUACUGGGCGUAAAGGGCGCGUAGGCGGUCGUGACAAGUCACUUGUGAAAUCUCCGGGCUUAACUCGGAACGGUCAAGUGAUACUGUCGGACUAGAGUACAGAAGGGGCAACUGGAAUUCUCGGUGUAGCGGUGAAAUGCGUAGAUAUCGGGAGGAACACCAGUGGCGAAGGCGGCUUCCUGGCCUGUUCUUGACGCUGAGGCGCGGAAAGCUAGGGGAGCAAACGGGG
rnacentral:rRNA from 1 species